rnacentral:rRNA from 1 species
GAGGCGUGGCUUCCGGAGCUAACGCGUUAAGUCGACCGCCUGGGGAGUACGGCCGCAAGGUUAAAACUCAAAUGAAUUGACGGGGGCCCGCACAAGCGGUGGAGCAUGUGGUUUAAUUCGAUGCAACGCGAAGAACCUUACCUGGUCUUGACAUCCACGGAAGUUUUCAGAGAUGAGAAUGUGCCUUCGGGAACCGUGAGACAGGUGCUGCAUGGCUGUCGUCAGCUCGUGUUGUGAAAUGUUGGGUUAAGUCCCGCAACGAGCGCAACCCUUAUCCUUUGUUGCCAGCGGUCCGGUCGGGAACUCAAAGGAGACUGCCAGUGAUAAACUGGAGGAAGGUGGGGAUGACGUCAAGUCAUCAUGGCCCUUACGACCAGGGCUACACACGUGCUACAAUGGCGCAUACAAAGAGAAGCGACCUCGCGAGAGCAAGCGGACCUCAUAAAGUGCGUCGUAGUCCGGAUUGGAGUCUGCAACUCGACUCCAUGAAGUCGGAAUCGCUAGUAAUCGUGGAUCAGAAUGCCACGGUGAAUACGUUCCCGGGCCUUGUACACACCGCCCGUCACACCAUGGGAGUGGGUUGCAAAAGAAGUAGGUAGCUUAACCUUCGGGAGGGCGCUUACCACUUUGUGAUUCAUGACUGGGGUGAAGUCGUAACAAGGUAACCGUAGGGGAACCUGCGGUUGGAUCAC